rnacentral:rRNA from 1 species
CCCCAGACUCCUACGGGAGGCAGCAGUGGGGAAUAUUGCACAAUGGGGGAAACCCUGAUGCAGCGACGCCGCGUGGGCGAGGAAGUACCUCGGUAUGUAAAGCCCUAUCAGCAGGGAAGAAACAGGACAGUACCUGACUAAGAAGCCCCGGCUAACUACGUGCCAGCAGCCGCGGUAAUACGUAGGGGGCAAGCGUUAUCCGGAUUUACUGGGUGUAAAGGGAGCGCAGACGGCAGUGCAAGUCUGGAGUGAAAGCCCGGGGCCCAACCCCGGAACUGCUCUGGAAACUGUGCGGCUAGAGUACUGGAGGGGCAGGCGGAAUUCCUAGUGUAGCGGUGAAAUGCGUAGAUAUUAGGAGGAACACCAGUGGCGAAGGCGGCCUGCUGGACAGUAACUGACGUUGAGGCUCGAAAGCGUGGGGAGCAAACAGGAUUAGAUACCCGCGUA